rnacentral:lncRNA from 1 species
CUUGGCUAAAGCUUAAUUACAUAUAUAAUUAUCAAACGAUAGUCCUUAAUUUCCAAAAAAAUUCCUCUUUUGAAAAUCACAGAAUCAGAAAGCAUAAACUUUAAAACAAGUUCUCUGAAUAUUUACAAUGUGGUAUAAACAUUAUAGAAGACCAUGGAUAUUAAAUUGCCUGGGUGUGGCUAAUCAGCAAGGCGUAUUCUUUAUUGCAUAUUUAACUCACAUAUGUGGGAUUUUAAUUUAAAUGACCAUACAAAAUACUUCAGUAAACAAAGUAUGACAGGCAGUAAAGAAAACAUUCAUAGACUCCUAGAAAUAAUCUGAAUUCCUUUCAUUCUGAAGAAAUAUCAUUUAAGGACACAGUAUUGAAUAUAAUGUUUUUUGUAUUAAAACAAGAAUUGCUAUUUUACAGUUUAAGAAACUUUACAUAUAUACAAAAUUUACACAUUGGGAAUGGGAUCUAUUUUCCUUCGAUCAAAGACUUAAAUUCUUUCACAUUGUGGUCACUUGCAACAGACAUAGCAUGAUCCAAAGCUCGAACACUUGCAAGGAGUUUUACUAUCUGUUUUAUGUUUUCCCUAAAAGA